UGCAUUGGCCGGGAAUCGAACCCGGGCCGCCGCGUGGCAGGCGAGCAUUCCACCACUUAAUUACCGAUGG
rnacentral:tRNA from 1 species